GUUGUCUUUCCACCGUGUUGUUUGGUGCCAUCGCCAGUGUGCGUGGGCAGAAGCCAGCCUUGCUCCAGAACUUUGAUCAAGACAAGGAUACCCAGCUCAGGUCCUGGAGGCCCAUCUGCUCUAAAGGAGAGCUGAGUCCAGAGCCAAAGGGAACACACUGUACUCCUAAAAGAAAGGAAUUUACAUCAGCUGGCUAAUUGCAUCCAAUCCUCUGGAUUCGUGAUCAAGAAUACAGACCGUCCUGCCUACUGACGCUGAAGGAGAAUCUGUGCCACUUGGGAUCAUGGGGAUUGUUGAAAUGACUGUUGACAAGCCAUAAUGGUGAAAGAAGGUGAUUGAUUUCUCACCAGCUCUUCCCCUUUCACCUGCUACUUCUUUACUCUUUCUCGCCUAUCGAGACUCUGACAAAUAGAAACAGGUUUUGUUACAAGCUAACUAUUCAUUGGUGGAGUGGAGUGAGAGAUUGGGGAACCACAGUUUAGGAUAGUCUGGAGGAUAUAUGCCAAAAACAAGGUUCCUGUCUCCAAGAACCAUCCAAUACAGUGGGAAUGAGAGAACAACCCAAAGUGAACAACCGACUCCUGCCUUUCUGCCACUCACCUCGUCUCAGCCUCCAGCACUUGGAUCUAGUCAUCUGUUGUCUUCGUCCAUCUCCCCCUGCUGGGCUCUUCAUUUCGUGUUUACUAGCUGCUUCAUGGGAGAGUGCUCAAGGAAAGGAAAAGACGAAACUCAAAGCAGUGAACAUUAUCUCUGCCGAAGCUCACAACUUCCAUCCUGUACCUCUCGCUUCCAUACACCAGAGGAAAGCAGUGACUUUAAAAUGGGAGCAUCUAGAGGACAACACUUUAAACAAGUGAUCAGGUGAACAUCGUCAGUAACGGGAUACAGGGACGUGCUGAUAAGAACACAGCACCACUUCUGUGUUAUUCCUGUCAAAGAUGCAAAACCUGAAUCUAAUCAUGAGGAAACAAUAAACAAAUCCAAACUGAUGGAUAAUCUACGAAAUAACUCCCCUCAAUAAUGUCAUGUCAUGUAAUCUUUAAAAGUGUCCUUCCAUGAAAGUCAAGAAAAGACAAAAGACCUGCUAAAGAUACUUGACAAUGAGACGAAAUACGUGGAUCUGAACUGGAUCCUUUCGCUGGGAAGGACAUGACUGAGACAACUAGAGAACCUGGGCUCUGAGGAUUGAAUGGCAGCAAUGCAUCAAUGUCAUUUCCUGAUUGGGAUGGUUGUAGUGAUGUUGGAGAAUGUCCUUGUCGUAGGAAAUCCACACUAAAGUAUUCGGGGGCAAUGGACCAUCACACUGGCAACUAGUUUUAAAUGGUUUGGGAGGGGGAGUUAUUUGUACUAUACUUCCAAUUUUUCUGUAAGUUUUUAAAAUUAUAUGAUGAUACCUAUAGGUAGCAAAAAUCUCCAGCUUAAUACCAUGGGGAUAACAAGAAUUGCUGCACUCAUCCACACGGUUGGGAGAAAAGAAAGCACUCAUCUGUGCAGUUGAAAAUGUCUCUAGCAAUGGAAUUAAGCCUCCCCUGGAAUCUUAAAAGAUAAUCUUGUCUCAUUUUGAUAAGCACCCCUCUCCCAGAGAGGUCAGUUCACUAUUUUUCUCUGCAAACUCUGGUACUUAGUUUGGAAACCAUUCUUCGUUCAUUUGCAGAAUUCCAAGCCUCUUUCCAGAGGUAGCUCCCUUUCUGAGAGAAUGUCAGGAGUAGAGGUGAUACAUGUUGGAACCAUG
ensembl:lncRNA